GACGAACGCUGGCGGCGUGCUUAACACAUGCAAGUCGACCGGAAAGGCCCUGCUUUUGUGGGGUGCUCGAGUGGCGAACGGGUGAGUAACACGUGAGUAACCUGCCUUUGACUUUGGGUUACCUUCAGGAAACUGGGGCUAAUACAGGAUAGGCGCUCCUGCUGCAUGGUGGGGGUUGGAAAGUUUCGGCGGUUGGGGAUGGACUCGCGGCUUAUGAGCUUGUUGGUGGGGUAGUGGCUUACCAAGGCCUGGACGGGUAGCCGGCCUGAGAGGGUGACCGGCCACAUUGGGACUGGGAUACGGCCCAGACUCCUACGGGAGGCAGCAGUGGGGAGUAUUGCACAAUGGGCGGAAGCCGGAUGCAGCAACGCCGCGUGCGGGAGGACGGCCUUCGGGGUGUAAACCGCAUUCGCCUGUGACGAAGCGUGAGUGACGGUAAUGGGUAAAGAAGCACCGGCUAACUACGUG
rnacentral:rRNA from 1 species